AGUGAACGCUGGCGGUAGGCCUAACACAUGCAAGUCGAACGGCAGCACAGUAAGAGCUUGCUCUUACGGGUGGCGAGUGGCGGACGGGUGAGGAAUACAUCGGAAUCUACUUUUUCGUGGGGGAUAACGUAGGGAAACUUACGCUAAUACCGCAUACGACCUACGGGUGAAAGCAGGGGAUCUUCGGACCUUGCGCGAUUGAAUGAGCCGAUGUCGGAUUAGCUAGUUGGCGGGGUAAAGGCCCACCAAGGCGACGAUCCGUAGCUGGUCUGAGAGGAUGAUCAGCCACACUGGAACUGGGACACGGUCCAGACUCCUACGGGAGGCAGCAGUGGGGAAUAUUGGACAAUGGGCGCAAGCCUGAUCCGGCCAUACCGCGUGGGUGAAGAAGGCCUUCGGGUUGUAAAACCCUUUUGUUGGGAAAGAAAAGCAGCAGGUUAAUACCCCGCUGUUCUGACGGUACCCAAAGAAUAAGCACCGGCUAACUUCGUG
rnacentral:rRNA from 1 species